rnacentral:ncRNA from 1 species
UAAAAAUCGCUGAACAAGAGGAGUAGCAGAGCAUUCGUUCGUUACAGAGAGCCGGGUGUGGUGGAAGCCGGCACGAACAGCAUUGUGAAUGGACUUGUGAGAGGCAUCCUGAAAAAAAGUAGGGAUGCACGGGAUUCCGCCGUUAUCAGGAUAGGGUCUGCAGGGCUGAAAGUCUUGCGCACCCGAAAAGAGAGAGCAUUUCUUGCUCUAACCAGAGGUGGCACCGCGGUCCGGAAUAUCGUCCUCUAU